ensembl:lncRNA
CUGCAUGUCCAGAAAGCUUUCCUGGUGCUCAAGGGCAGGACAGGCCCGGGUGAGGAAAAGAGCUCCACUGAGGAUAGAAAUGGAGAAAUGCCAGCAGGGACCCAGGAGAAGUCACAGCCCCAGGGCCCACGGGGCUGACUGAAGGUCAGACAGGAAACACCAGGGCUGCUUUCCCAGCACUGAACCCUGCUCUGUUUCAUCCCUCUACCUUUUCCUAUUUUGCUCUGCUCUGAAAGGAGGAAAAGCAAAUAAAUGACAUAAAAUGCUCAGAGUUUGAGGGGUUUUCUCCUGAAAGCAGGGCAACAGCAUGAUGGCUUCUCAAAGAGUACCAAUGAAGAGAUGAUGUGCAUGAGGAGCUGUCCUGAACGUGCCUCUGCCUUUGGUAACUGAUGGACACAGACAUUCACCUCAGAUCACUCAUGGAAAGGUGGAUGUGCUUCCAGGGAUGGCUCACCCCACUUCUCACAGUCUGACACAAAUCAUUCUCUCAUAUUUAGAAGGAGCCCUGAUAACUGGUUUAUAUAGGAAAUUAUUUCACGCAGGGCCAGAUCUGCAAUCCUGAGCCAAAGCUGAAGCUUUGAGGGGGAAAAGAAAAGGAAUGGGGAAAGACAGGACAGGGGAGGAGAAGGAAAAAGAAAAUAAAGCGGGGGAGGCGAGCAGAAAGGAAAAGUAUGGCCAAAAAAUAAAAACAGCAGCAAUUUAGGAUACUUUGGGACUCAGUAAUACCAUUUCAAGGUGCUUCUGGCCUCAAAAACCGGCAUUUGGGAACUUCACAGCUGAGAACACAGAAGUUUCAGGAGCACUGGGGCUCAGAAGCACCAACACGGGGAGUUUUGGGACUUGAAACAGCAUUUGGGUUCAGAAAUACUGAUUUAGGGAGCACUAGGGCUCUAAAAUACCAAUUUAGGGACACAAGCUUACAAAGCCCUGAUUUGGGGAGUUCAAGGCUGAGAAAAAAUCAUGUCAGGAGCUCUGGGAAUCAGAGAGUGAUUUGGGGAUAUUUUCAGAUCAGCAAGAACGAUCUAGAGAGCUUCUGGGCUAAAAUAAAAACCCAAUUAAACCGAUUUUGCGCUCUGCAGUCCCCAUUUAGGACUCUUUGGAGCUCCAAGUCAGUGAUUUUAGGAGUUUUUGGGCUGAAAAACAUCGAUUUUGGAGCAGAAGGAGCAAACCUGGGGAAACUCGGGAGCAAGGGGCCGGUGCUUACCUGGCACAGGGCUCGGGGGAAGCAGCUCCGCGCUGGGCUGGAGCACCGGGGGCUCCUCAUCCCUUUAUCCCCCCCUGCCCGGCCCUUCCCACCCCCACGGGCUCCAUCCCUCCCUCCCCCCAGCACCUCCUUUCCCAUCUUCACACCCAUUUCCCCUAAAUCACGCUCAGCUGGAAAAUGAAAGUGAAAAUGCUCCCUGUGGUAUGCAGGUUUCAAAAUGCCAGAGGUUUGUGCCCAAAAUAGGGAAAAAAGGCAGAGGUUUAUGUCCAAAAGGAGACAACAGGGUCCUGUAACUUUACUCGACAUCAGGGUCCUGUAACUUUACCCAAAUAAAGGUAGGGGCCAUGAGACGUUUACCCUGGGGUCUCUCAAUUUUUUUAAGGACACAGACUCCUUUUCAGUGCUGUUUUCCCAGCCACAUCACCCUCUGUCUUUCCCUAUUAGCUGAGGUAUUUGAGAGGUGUCGGAAUCUGUGGGUAUUGGUGAUUCCGAGAUUGUAGAAAGUCUCUGUCUUUCUGCCCCGUUGCCAAAGCAGAAGCCAUAAUUGGUCUGUGCUGUUUUCAAGGUUGUUUAUUUUUGCUUAUCUAUAACAUGUUCUGCUGCCCUGCCGCAGCUCUGUCCUGCAGGGCAGCGUGUGGGGCUCUGCCCUCAGUGGGAUGGUACAAACAUUAAAUACCACAAACUACCUGUGCUGGAUUUACAAUAACGUGCCAAUAUCUGUCAUCUACGUUGAACAGUGUGUCCCCAGCCUAAACCAACAGAAAAAUGCCAACAUCACCAAGAACAUGGAGGUAAGGAAGAAGAAGGAGGAAGAACAGGAUCAGGCCCACUUUCCUCCAUCUUAGAACUCCUGACCCCCCCUGUACAAAGUAAAACCCCCCUGUACAGGUGUUAAAACCCCCCUGUACAAUACUAAAAAAUUUUACCCUCUAAUUUGUGACUACUUUUACUAUACCAUCUAACCCUCUGUGACUGCUUGUUCCACCUUUAAAGUUGGUAAUUCAUUCCAUGGUUCAAACUCAAGCUCACAGCUGUUUUCAGCUGCUUGCCAGGGUCUAAAAUGCUUCUGACCAAGGCCUGGAACCUCUGAAAAUGUCUGAGGGACAUUUUGAGUUCCGACACCCCAGCACCUCCUUUCUGGGUUUUACAGGGAUUUCCCGUAAAUGCCUCUCAGAAAUCUGAUGGGCUGCAGCAACAAAACCUAAAGCCAGGGAACCUCAGAAAAACGGAAAGCUGGACAAGACAAACGCACAUCCAACCAAUAUGAUUAAUGCAACGUUCUCAGUUUAUUCAAGAUAAGGUGGUAGUUUAUAUAAGCUUCUACUUAGUUUACAAAAACAAAGACACUCUGGUUGGCAAACCAAUAUUGUUUACCUUUUCCUUAAAACGGCCUACACCUUACACUAUAAAACCUAUACUAAUUCACACCCAAGCAACCCAGUGGUCCCCAUCACACCUUAAGACAUUUUCUAUCUGCGCCACAAGCUCUGAAUUUCUAACUGCGUCAGAGGCUUUGAAGGCCCCACCAGGCCUCAAUCUGAGGCCUAGACUGGAGUAGCUCAACUUUCACAAUUCAUGUCCUCUUUCUCUCAAAAAUGCUGCAACAAAAACCAACAACAAGAGCGUGACCCUGCCCAACCAGAAGCGUCUGCACAGCGCAAUCUGCACCAUUCGCCCCUCUGGGCGAGGCCGGUGGGAUCGCUGUGGGCAGCACACAGCAGUGACACCCCCUCCUCAUAAAACUUCCCGGGCAGUGACUGUCCCCUGGGCUGGGCUCUGCUGAUGUCGGAACUCAAAAUGUCCCUCAGACAUUUUUUAGAGGUUCCAGGCCUUGGUCAGAAGCAUUUUAGACCCUGGCAAGCAGCUGAGAACAGCUGUGAUCUUGAGUUUGAACCAUGGAAUGAAUUACCAACUUUAAAGGUGGAACAAGCGGUCACAGAGAGUUUGAUGGUAUAGUAAAAGUAGUCACAAAUUAGAGGGUAAAAUUUUUUAGUAUUGUACAGGGGGGUUUUAACACCUGUACAGGGGGGUUUUACUUUGUACAGGGGGGUCAGGAGUUCUAAGAUGGAGGAAAGUGGGCCUGAUCCUGUUCUUCCUCCUUCUUCUUCCUCACCUCCAUGUUCUUGGUGGUGUUGGCAUUUUUCUAUUGGUUUAGUCUGGGGACACACUGUUCAACAUAGAUGAUAGAUAUUGGCACAUUAUUGUAAAUAUAGUACGCGUAAUUUCUGGUAUAUAAUGUUUGUACCAUCCCACUGAGGGCAGAGCCCCACACGCUGCCCUGCAGGACAGAGCUGCGGCAGGGCAGCAGAACUUGUUAUAGAUAAGCAAAAAUAAACAACCUUGAAAACAGCACAGACGAACUAUGGCUUCUUCUUUGGCAACAGGGCAGAAAGACAGAGACUUUCUACAAUCUCAGAAUCACCAAUACCCACAGAUUCCGACAUGCUGAGACCCCCAAGUGUCCCCAAGUUCUGCCAGAGGGGCUGAGUGGGGAAAGCACGCUGCUGCCAGGCCAUGCUGGGCCUUCACUGGGCUUUGCUGGGGUGUGAUGCCACCGAUUUAAUAUUUCAUAGAAUUCCGUUCAAAGUCCAUUGUCCCUUCCCGCCCACAGUCUGCAGACACUAAUCCAGUUCCUAAUUAAUUCCUACACUGCAGAGACAAACUUGUCAAUUCAGGCCUUACUUAUUUAAUGUUUUUUUGUCUGAUUGCAAAAGUUGUUGCCACGAGGUUUGCUACACAUUAACUGGGAGAAAAGUAAAAAAUAAGUAACAUAUUGAUUAGACCCAGCCUGGAUGCCAUGAAUGCAUUAUGGCCAAUUGUUUGUUUCUUUGAUCUUGGCUGAUCAGAAAAAGUUUUAAUCUGAAUAUAUAAUGACUAAUUAUUUCAUGGAGUGAGUAGAACUUAAUAAUGUAAAAUACAAAAAUACAAAAAUUAGAGCUCACCUU